rnacentral:rRNA from 1 species
CUGGCGGCGUGCCUAACACAUGCAAGUCGAGCGGGACAUUCGACGGACCGGAAGUUUCGAAUGGAAGGGAAGAUGAAUGUUCUAGCGGCGGACGGGUGAGUAACGCGUGAGCAACCUGUCCUUCACAGGGGGAUAACACAGCGAAAGUUGUACUAAUACCGUAUAAGACCACGGCGGGGCAUCCCGAAGGGGUCAAAGGAGCAAUCCGGUGAAGGGUGGGCUCGCGUCCGAUUAGAUAGUUGGUGAGGUAACGGCCCACCAAGUCGACGAUCGGUAGCCGACCUGAGAGGGUGAUCGGCCACAUUGGGACUGAGACACGGCCCAAACUCCUACGGGAGGCAGCAGUGGGGAAUAUUGGGCAAAUGGGGGAAACCCUGACCCAGCAACGCCGCGUGAGGGAAGAAGGUUUUCGGAUCGUAAACCUCUGUCCUUGGUGAAGAGGAAGAGACGGUAGCCAAGGAGGAAGCCCCGGCUAACUACGUGCCAGCCGCGGC